rnacentral:rRNA from 1 species
GAAGGUGUACUGUGAGGUAUGCUGGAGGUAUCAGAAGUGCGAAUGCUGACAUAAGUAACGAUAAAGCGGGUGAAAAGCCCGCUCGCCGGAAGACCAAGGGUUCCUGUCCAACGUUAAUCGGGGCAGGGUGAGUCGACCCCUAAGGCGAGGCCGAAAGGCGUAGUCGAUGGGAAACAGGUUAAUAUUCCUGUACUUGGUGUUACUGCGAAGGGGGGACGGAGAAGGCUAUGUUGGCCGGGCGACGGUUGUCCCGGUUUAAGCGUGUAGGCUGAUUUUCCAGGUAAAUCCGGAAAAUCAAGGCUGAGGCGUGAUGACGAGGCACUACGGUGCUGAAGCAACAAAUGCCCUGCUUCCAGGAAAAGCCUCUAAGCAUCAGGUAACAUCAAAUCGUACCCCAAACCGACACAGGUGGUCAGGUAGAGAAUACCAAGGCGCUUGAGAGAACUCGGGUGAAGGAACUAGGCAAAAUGGUGCCGUAACUUCGGGAGAAGGCACGCUGAUAUGUAGGUGAAGUCCCUCGCGGAUGGAGCUGAAAUCAGUCGAAGAUACCAGCUGGCUGCAACUGUUUAUUAAAAACACAGCACUGUGCAAACACGAAAGUGGACGUAUACGGUGUGACGCCUGCCCGGUGCCGGAAGGUUAAUUGAUGGGGUUAGCGGUAACGCGAAGCUCUUGAUCGAAGCCCCGGUAAACGGCGGCCGUAACUAUAACGGUCCUAAGGUAGCGAAAUUCCUUGUCGGGUAAGUUCCGACCUGCACGAAUGGCGUAAUGAUGGCCAGGCUGUCUCCACCCGAGACUCAGUGAAAUUGAACUCGCUGUGAAGAUGCAGUGUACCCGCGGCAAGACGGAAAGACCCCGUGAACCUUUACUAUAGCUUGACACUGAACAUUGAGCCUUGAUGUGUAGGAUAGGUGGGAGGCUUUGAAGUGUGGACGCCAGUCUGCAUGGAGCCGACCUUGAAAUACCACCCUUUAAUGUUUGAUGUUCUAACGUUGGCCCCUAAUCGGGGUUGCGGACAGUGUCUGGUGGGUAGUUUGACUGGGGCGGUCUCCUCCUAAAGAGUAACGGAGGAGCACGAAGGUUGGCUAAUCCUGGUCGGACAUCAGGAGGUUAGUGCAAUGGCAUAAGCCAGCUUGACUGCGAGCGUGACGGCGCGAGCAGGUGCGAAAGCAGGUCAUAGUGAUCCGGUGGUUCUGAAUGGAAGGGCCAUCGCUCAACGGAUAAAAGGUACUCCGGGGAUAACAGGCUGAUACCGCCCAAGAGUUCAUAUCGACGGCGGUGUUUGGCACCUCGAUGUCGGCUCAUCACAUCCUGGGGCUGAAGUAGGUCCCAAGGGUAUGGCUGUUCGCCAUUUAAAGUGGUACGCGAGCUGGGUUUAGAACGUCGUGAGACAGUUCGGUCCCUAUCUGCCGUGGGCGCUGGAGAACUGAGGGGGGCUGCUCCUAGUACGAGAGGACCGGAGUGGACGCAUCACUGGUGUUCGGGUUGUCAUGCCAAUGGCACUGCCCGGUAGCUAAAUGCGGAAGAGAUAAGUGCUGAAAGCAUCUAAGCACGAAACUUGCCCCGAGAUGAGUUCUCCCUGACUCCUUGAGAGUCCUGAAGGAACGUUGAAGACGACGACGUUGAUAGGCCGGGUGUGUAAGCGCAGCGAUGCGUUGAGCUAACCGGUACUAAUGAACCGUGAGGCUUAACCUUACAAC